UUUUACUCUGCCUAAAGUCUCACUAUGAUGCUGUACAUAGUUAUUUGGAUCUUAACUCUUGCAGAUGUAACUCGCGCAGAAACCAUUACCCCUGAACACUCAGAAGUGCGUGCAAAUGAGACUGAGAACAUAACACUCUCCUGUAGUUAUUCCUCGGCAUACAGUCUCCUUUGGUAUCGACAGCAUCAUACAUCAGCUCCUCAGUUCCUCAUGCUCAUCCUACAAAAUUCUGGAAAAGUAAUACAGACCUCAGACGACCGCCUAUCUGGAAAACUGAACGUGGACAAAAAUCGUGUGGAUUUGGAAAUCCCCUUUUCCACAGUUAAAGAGUCUGCAGUGUAUUUCUGUGCACUGCAGACCACGGUGACAGGAAAUCAAAUGUUACUGUACGAAAACCUUACAGCUUGAGAUCACAUGUGUUUUUCAUGCUCAAUAUUCACUCUGAGUUAAGGGGAGGAGCUUCAAGCAGCUGUAAAGAUCUCAAGUGCCAUCAUAGAUGUGCCAGUUCA